CGUAGGGCGAGCGUUGUCCGGAUUAUUGGGCGUAAGAGCUCGUAGGCGGCUCGGUAAGUGAGGUGUGAAACUCCAGGCUCAACCUGGAGACGCCACCUCAUACUGCCGUGGCUAGAGUCCGGUAGGGAGCAUGGAAUUCCUGGUGUAGCGGUGAAAUGCGCAGAUAUCAGGAGGAACACCAGUGGCGAAGGCGGUGCUCUGGGCCGGAAUGACGCUGAGGAGCGAAAGCGUGGGAGCAAACAGGAUU
rnacentral:rRNA from 1 species